rnacentral:rRNA from 1 species
UACGGGGGGAGCAAGCGUUGUUCGGAUUUACUGGGCGUAAAGGGCGCGUAGGCGGCCACCGCAAGUCGGUUGUGAAAUCUCUGGGCUUAACCCAGAAAGGUCAACCGAUACUGCGGGGCUAGAGUGCAGAAGGGCAACUGGAAUUCUCGGUGUAGCGGUGAAAUGCGUAGAUAUCGAGAGGAACACCUGCGGCGAAGGCGGUUGCUGGCUGACACUGACGCUGAUGCGCGAAAGCUAGGGAGCGAAGCGGG